CGCGCCUUUCCCACAAGCAAGUUGUGGACUGUACCCCUCAUAUUCAAUUGUCUAAUCAAUACCGUGCAAAUCGUUUCGUUUUGGAAACUGAUAUUUGGAAAAUAGUUGACAUAAGUGAUACCAUGACACCUGUCGAGAAUAUAAACUUUCUGAUUCCUAUGAAAAAGAGCCAGAAGAGUUGUGUAACUGGCUUUGUAGAUGGGUGGAGGGUGAGUCAUUGGCGACCGCGUGGUUGUGUCUGCAGAUCUAAAAGUGUGCGCAUUUGGCGACUUCAAAGCUUAGUUACAUUUACUCGGAAAGAGGAAUCCUACAAGAAUAAGCAUCGGUGCAAUUUGUGAAAUUAAGAGUAGACAAGUCGUCUGCAAAACUUGGUCUUUAGGCGAAUGGAAACAAAAUCUCUGAUGGAAGGUUUGCCGCAUACUUACCACCCUCGGCAAAAAUGGCGUUUUUCCCGCUUCCUCCUGUCGAGAUUUUGAGUAUUGGCAUAUCGUUACCCAAGUAACUUUAGUCCAGUACUUGUGACGGUUACCAAAUUGGGGUAAGUGGCAGCUAUUUCGUUAACAAAUUCAUAAAUCUGCAUGGCGUACAGUGAAAAAUGUUUGAGUUGUGCCUUGUCCCAUCGGCUAAAACUGGUAAAUUAAGUGGAAUUUUUAACAUACGGCUGGUAAAUCGGAAUAUGAAGUCCAAUCAAGUGAAUAUCUUGGUGUACCAGGGGAUCUCUGAAGAGCUUUUUUGGGUGCAAGAGGUGGGGCAAUGUCAAGUCGACUUAAUUCAAUUUCUCUUCAUCAACAAAUAGUUAUUAGAAAUCUUUGAAAAAUGCGUGCUUAUUUAUUUCUCUUACUGUUGAACGUCGUCUAUUUUUAUGUGAUAUUCCAUGUUGAAAGCCUCCAACACAUCGACGAACGUUUUCGUGAAAGCGGGAGGGACCAUGACGUCGGUCGUAAAGUCAACAUAACGAGGCUCUGUCCAGAAAUCGUAAACAUCGCUUCUCUCAUUGUAGAGCUUCACCAAAACAUCAAAAGAAACCCUGUCUUUGGCUUUCACUUGGUAGACUUGGUAUCUGUAACAUGCAGACAGCAAAGUAUUGAAUUUCAAGUUGCAGUCGGAUUUUUUAAAUAUUCUUUUGCUUACCCAUCGUAACGUCUUUGCGUGGCCAACGCCGACGCAAUGAAAAACGCCAACGCAAAAAGCAAUCUCAUCACGGAUUUUUCUUUUUGUUCGAAACACCGAAACUGUUGUCACCUUGUCGAGAUCAAGAAUGUUUUGAAAUCGCACACAGGCUCACUUGACUAUUUUUCUCAGCGUGUUAAUCGUUUUACUUGACUGCGCUUGUCACUAACGUUCUUUGUACUUUCGGACCUCGUCGUGUUGUUCUAUCAAAGAACUUUAUCUUCUUUUUCUUUUCUUUUUUUACUGUUUUAUUUCCAAUAUUUGCCUUAAAGAAUUGUGAUCCGGGUCACACAACUAUUGUUUUAACGAUAACACAUUCUGUUUUUUUGGUUCUAACCGUGCGUCUAAAUUUUGUUUUCUUAUCUCACGACAAUCGACAAAAGUAUCAACAGAUCGGGAAAAAAAGAAGACUUAAUACAGUAGAUGAUUUUUAACAUUCUAUUGUAUGUUGAAGUAUAUAUUUUUUUCCCGUGAUAUGCUGGGCAUUAGUGUUCCAUGUCGUGGCUUACAUGGCCAUUACAUCCUCUGCAACCACCUUAAUGGCCUCCCACGUCUCCAGAUUAUUGGGGAUGAUUUGUCUAUAACACAUAUUGAAUAUUUGUAACUUAUGCGUAGAACGUUAGGUUACAGGGAUAUUCAGCUCUAAUUUUCCCCAUUCAGCAACUAGUGAUUAUGAUACACAUUUUAAGUUAGUAAUUGAGAAAGUGGAAAUCGCUUUCUCGCCCACUUUACUGAAUGGUAAGAAAAAUAGAAUCGAACAUCGCUUAACGACUUACUCUGCAGGCAACUCGAAACCGUAUUUUCCAGUGUCUCGCAACUCAAGAGUAUAGGCAUAUGGAAUUCCGGCUCCUCCCAUUGCCCAGUCAUCACUAGGUCCGGUAUUGACGU
rnacentral:lncRNA from 1 species